rnacentral:tRNA from 1 species
GUAGACAUAGUUUAAAAAAAACAUUAGAUUGUGAUUCUAAAAAAAGGGGUUAAAAUCCCCUUGUCCACC